rnacentral:rRNA from 1 species
CCUACGGGAGGCAGCAGUAGGGAAUAUUGCUCAAUGGGGGAAACCCUGAAGCAGCAACGCCGCGUGGAGGAUGAAGGUUUUCGGAUUGUAAACUCCUUUUGGUAGAGAAGAUAGUGACGGUAUCUAACGAAUAAGCACCGGCUAACACCGUGACAGCAGCCGCGGUAAUACGGCGGGUGCAAGCUUUACUCGGAAUCACUGGGCGGAAAGAGCGCGUAGGCUGGGUAGCAAGUCAGAUGUGAAAUCCUAUGGCUUAACCAUAGAACUGCAUUUGAAACUGUUAUUCUAGAGUAUGGGAGAGGUAGGUGGAAUUCUUGGUGUAGGGGUAAAAUCCGUAGAUAUCAAGAGGAAUACUCAUUGCGAAGGCGACCUGCUAGAACAUAACUGACGCUGAUGCGCGAAAGCGUGGGGAGCAAACAGGAUUAGAUACCCCAGUAGUC